rnacentral:misc_RNA from 1 species
GAUGGAUAUGAAGAAUAUAGUGGCACUGAGUACCCGUCAGCAGGAUGCUAUGAAGAAUACAAGAUCAUUGAGUAAGUUGCUAUGAAUACCUGUUUUCUAAUACAAACAUGAAUAUCUAUGUGAUAAGUUGAAGCAUGUGAGAUAAUUACUUAUGAAAGUCAUGAUAUACUGUUCUACAAGGGAAAUAUUUUUAGAUCGGUGGCAUAGACAACAAGAAGGUGAAGGGAAAAAAAAUUAAGCAAUUAAGAAGCUUAGAAUUAAAGGAGGGGUUUUAAGUAAUAGAGCUGGAAAUGGUUUCGGACUUGGAAACAGCAUAGUGGUAUCAGGUUGAAUUGGUCCAAACGGACCACAUCAGCCGCCAAUUUCAUGAAUUUUUUAAAAACUAUCAACAAGAUGACAUAUGUUUAAAUUUAAAUUACUAGUUUAAAACUUUUUGUAAAUUGGUGAUGUUUUUGUUUCUCCUCACACAGUAUUUCCUUCUUCCUUUGAAAUUG